rnacentral:lncRNA from 1 species
UAUACAUCUAAUAGUCAAGCCUAGGUCUUGUCUGAAACUUCUCUGAAAGAUAAUAGCCUCUAGAACAGAGAGAUCUAAAAUAAAGAAUAUUUACAUUAGUAGUGAAUGUACGAGCUAGUAACUCUUCUCGCUGUCGUUCCUGCUGCUCCCGGAUGUAACGGCGAUGCUGAAAGUUCCUCAGAGCUGUCUGCAGAUGCUGAACAUCAUACUUCAGCUGGUCAACUCGGAGUUUAGCAUUCUGUCGCUUAUUGGGAGGUUCUUUGCUGGACAGGAUUUCCAAACGUUCCAAGUUGCUGAAUACCUUGUCAAUUCUUGCCUGAAUCUCAUUUUCUACUAAGUGUACAGACUCUUUGUCUGAAGUCUCCAGACGUCCCAUGUAUGACUGGACUUCAUGGACUUGUUUGUUGGUCUGAUGGUAGAGCCCCUCCAUCUCCGCGGCACGACCCCCUCCCUUCCGUCCG